GAUGAACCGAAGCAGCAGAAACUGCAGUUGUAGACACAGGACUGCAGCUAAAUCCAUUUGAGAGCCUGCAAGUUCCCAUACAAGGCCAGUUUUAUCCAUACUCUACUGAAG
rnacentral:lncRNA from 1 species